UGAAGUGUCACUAACCUUUGUGUAUUCUGCAAAAGCAGUGAGAUUUGUCACUUUUUAGCAAAAGUAGUAUUUAAUAAAAUAGUAGAAAAUAGUAUAAUAUAUUUCUAUGUGUACACAUUUCUUUUUAAAAAGUCCCAAAACAGCCCCAACGUUUGAUAUCGUGGGUAUAUCCGAUAGAGUUGAAACUUUUCAUCUUGAAGAUUCAAGUGCCUUUUAGCCCUUUGGAAAGAAGAUAAAAAGAUGAAUUUGGCUUUAAAAAAAUUCAGGAAAACAUUUCAUGCAUGGUGAAAGAUUCAUUAACUUUCUUUCCAUUAGCAUGUUGAGUUGAUGGUCACCUUUAACCCCGGGGCAGCAGUAGAUGGCCAUCUGAACUGCUGCAGGGAUUCCAGACUUUCUUAUUGAUGUGUGCUGUUGGUCACUUCCUGUCUUUGGUGCGGCUGCUCCGGCAGAUACAAUGUACAAAACAUGACUAAAAUAGCAAGGCAUACUCUGUUUCUAUGGGAACCAUCUCUGAAACUGUGCUUUGUCCUUGAUGGAAUCAGGUGGAGUGAAAAGCUGCACUAGUAGAGCUAAGCUAAGAGAGAGGAAAAGGAGAAAGAGGAUGAGAGACAUAGCUGUGUGAGUGGAUGAAUAAAAAUUGUGGUCUGACAAUGCUGGGUAAGAGUGAGCGAUCAUGUGACCAUUAGUGCUGGGUAUACAGGUGAAGUCCCCCAGCCAUUGGAGGUGAUCUCUCUCUCCCUCUCUCUCUCCCCAUGUCUUUUCAAGUAAUUCAUCCAUACUGAUUCACUAUGGAUAGAAUUUUUUAUCACUGCCUUGACUUAUGUGUAUAUAAAACUCCUUCAGUUGAAGCAAAUAGGAAAUUCGAUGUGGUUCGUUCAACAAACCGGCGUUCAUGCUGACUGGCACAUGUGGCAGCACCAGACAAAAAAAAUCCGCUGCUAAAUUUACCCUCACUUGUCUCCGGCUAAACAACAGCAGUUGAGUGUUUGCAGGUGUUUGCUAGGCAAUGGAACACGACCCACACGCAAAUGACAUGCUUUCCAAACAUGACUAACACACAUGCACGUAUGCACCAAGCAACCAUGUGUGUACUGUAAUUAAAUCGCAAUCCUAAAUAUCGCUUUAGUAUAUUGAAAUGGGUUAGGGGACCAUGUUUAAAUAAAUAAAUAAAUAAAUAAAUAAAUAAAAAGUCACUAGAGCUUGUGACAAGUGUAUGCAUGUAAUCGUAUGGACUCAGGGGAAGGUUUGUGCUGGAGGUUUAAUGAACCAGGAUUAACAAAUCCAAAACAGUGUCAUAAAUCAUGCAGGGAGGCAGGGAGAACCCAGGUAUUCAUCAAACAAAGUGUAAAACUUACAGGGAAGUCACGAUUGGAGCAAAGGUCAUACACAGGAAUAUAGCAAUAGAGAUGGAGAAAUGUCAGAUAUCUUUUGGGAAUUUGGGAUAUCAGACGGCUCAGAAUUUACUCAAUGAAAAUAUUGGCAAGACUUUGCAGCGAGUUAAUGCAUGAAUGAUUUCGACUUGGAACCACCGAUCCACCCCUGUGACACGGUCUGCUCGUGGGUCUGGAAGAGUGCCAGUCCGCAUGUUUUGGGUGAACGCCGGCAAUAAGCGAAUCAUUCAGAAUGUUGCCUGCGACCCGUGAUUCUUGCCAUUGCUGGACAAUAAAAGACUUCCCAAAAUCCACUCUGCAAGUGUGGACAGGAUUGUUCGAUAAGAGCAUCGCACAUACACCCGCAGUCCAGUCUAGAGUUUUCCCAGUAAGUAUUGAUAGCACCAGUCUUAUUUUGUUGAGAUCCCUGGGAUGCCCAGAUGGAGUGCUUGCAAACAGGGUUAAACACUGCAUUAAAAGAAGCAAGGUCAUAACCAGGGACAGCAAACAUAAAACAAUGGUUAGAACAUACUAGAAGUAUUGGCGAGAUCUCCUAGUAAUUUUGUGUAGGAAGGUGUCCUUAUAUAGUCCAUAAACAGGAAGCGACACGGGCUGAACAGGAACCCACCCUGCCUUUUUUCUCCUAUGGACUGAGCGGCUUUCGCUUCCUCUUCUCUGUACCAUGCAAAUGACUCGCACACUUUUGCACUGCAGACUAGGACACUUCCUGUUGAGAGGCAUUUGGAAUGUGCACGAGUGCAUUUUUGUGUGCAGGAAAAGAAAUUGGUACUGAAAGCGAGCAGUUCUGGAGAGACAAUCCACAAUUCUUCGUAUGGGUUUCCUCUCCAUUGUCAUCCAAUCCACAGUUUUAGACGAGGGGUGGUCAUCUUACGUACUUCAGCCUGCUUUGAUUUCAUCACGUUGUAUUCACAUGCAGUUUGUUAUUGAAAUAAAAAAGCUUGAAAUGAAAGCAUGAAGACUUUUAUUGGAUUACGAAAUUGUUUUUUAAAAACUUUUUAUAGAGGUGAAGUAUCUCUGAGUAGGAGUCACACUGUUGCUCCUAAUGUUGUCUAAAAUGGAAAUCCAACCUAGAAAAUGUUGUCUAAAAUGGAACUCUAAUGGGCAGUGGUAGCUCAGUGGUUAAUACGUUGGACUACUGAUCAAAGGGUCAUGAGUUCAAAUCACAGCACUGCCAAACUGCCACUGUUGGGCCCUUGAGCAACGCCCUCAACUGCUCAGUUCUAUAGAUUAGAUAAAUGUAAGUCUUUCUGGAUAACGGUGUCUGCCAAAUGCCAUAAAUUUAACCAUAUGCCAUGUUAUGAACUAGGAACGAGCAUCAUUGUGAUGUUGUUUUUACCCCUUUGUGGCAGUGAAUUGUGUGGAAAAAUGGGUGACACUCGGGUAGCAAAGCAGAGUACGCAUCUUCUUUACCCAGCAUUUUCACCCAUACUUCCUGUCGUUACCUCACGCUCUUUUUUCCUAUUUUCCAUUCAGUGGUAGAACAGAUGGUGACUUGAGCUUUGGAGAGUUGGUGGCAACAGUUGCUUGGCGAGUAGAUGGUGUUAUAGUUGAGUCGAGAAGCAGCCGCAGCGACCGGAUGAAUGAAGAAGCCGCUUCUUCUCUCCAUCACAGACAGUUCUGAAGAAUGCAGAACAUUUUGACAUUUUGUUUAAUGCACUAUACUGCAUAUAAUGCUUUUGAAAUAAUAUAUGGUGUUUGCAAAUGCAGCUGAACUGAGUAAAGAUUUUAGUGCUUGUUCAGGUUUCAUAGCCAUAUUCAUGUCUCUAACAUCCACAUCUAAGAUUUAUUCGUUUAACCACUGCAGUCACCUACUGUAUAUCGACAGUUGCAGAAAAGGCUUGUAGUGAAGCACAUAGAGGAGUCGGGCCACCCGUUUGCCCUCCACUGAAAGGGCUGUGUGAGUUGAGUAUCUGUGAUUCCUGCUUCUGCCUGGGCGGCCCACGUCAUUAACUGGAGAGUGCUGUCAUUAGUGGCGUUCACACUGUUCCUCAGCAGCUGUCCUUAAUGCUAAGCAGGGAAAGAAGCAGAAAGUCUAAUGACUUUGUAGCUGGGUGAUGUGCUUCGGUUGAUACAAUCAUUAGGUCAGCAUUAACUGUACAAUUCAGAGAACAUAUACAUGAUACAGCCAAAAGUACGUGCAUCCCUGACCAUCAUAACAAUAUGUGGGCCUAUUCCACGAAGUCUGAAGCACACAGUUGUACAGAAUGUCUCUGUAUGCUGUAGCAUUACAGUUUCCCUUCAUGUGAACUACAAGAGGCCUGUUCAAACCUGUUCCAGCAUGACAAUGCCCCUGUGUACAAAGCGAGCUCCAUGAACACAAGGUAUGUUAAGGUUGUUUUAUGAUGGAGUGUUUUGUGAUGGACUGGUGUCCCAUCUAGAGUGUAUUCCUGCCUCAUGCCCAGUGCCCAGUGUUCCUGCUAUAGACCUCGGAUCUGGAUGAACAGAUGUAUGAUGAUUUAGUUCAUACGUCUUUUCUGUUGCUCGUCCUGACCUGGACCAGUGAUUUUGAUUUUAUUUAAAAAAUGCUUACUUUUGAGGUCACAUGUUUUCUUCGCUUACAUUACUUACUAUGUUGCUCUGAACAUUCAUGAUGAAAUAGCAUGUAGAAUUUAGCAUUUUAAAAUGGCAAAGUCUUGCACGUCCUUGCCCUGAGGUGUUACGAGCUACUUAUAAUUAAUUGCAUGAAACAGAAAGCCAAUUAUACUCAGUUGUUCCUCUCUAUGAUCCAGAGACACAAGAAAAGGAAAGUCUUCUUUGGAGUACUCGGUAGCCUUGUAGGGAAUGUUUUUUAUUAAAAGUAUCAUUCCCACACAGACUGUGGUGAAUAAUGACCUGCCUAAUCUUUGCCCUGCUCCAAUUUACCAUUUGGAUUAAUGGUAGGUGAGGUUUAAUUAUGGCACACAUAUUAUAUUAAACCUCAUUGUUCUUUCUGAACAUGAAGUACUAGGAGUAGGUGAGGAAUACAGGAGCUUAAAGGCCCUUUGUAUAAAAAGAAAAAAAAACUAGCACAGUUUUUUUUUUUCAUGGUAUCUGAAUGGUGAAGGUUUUUUUUUUGCUGCCUAAAGACAAGAAUUAUUGUAUGCACAGGUUUAAUAAGAGCAGCCUGCUAAUCACAAGCAUGACCUGAGAUUGUCGUGUAGCUAGGGGAUUCAAAAGCAGUGUAUUCUAUUGUCAUGUUUAACAUAGGAGUGGUCUUGUUUUAUCUUGUGUGAUCUAGGUGAUCAAGCAUUUUCAAACUUUAGUUAGUUGGUUGUAGUAUGAGACGGUGAGAGAGAGAGAAAAAGAAAAUGUGAGAGAGAAAGAGGGGGAAAAAAACCUAAUAAAUGUGCAUAAGGAAGUCUUAUUGUGUGGCAAACAUCAAGCCACAAUCAACCAUUUUAAUCUUGAAAGGAAAAGGACAAGAGGUGUAACCGUAGAUCUCUAACUAGUGCAAUGCUUGGAACUGUGGUAUUUUACAAAAAGCCAGCUACUAACGUAUGCGCUCACACUUGUUUUUUUUUUCGCAUUUGCUUCUUCAUCUUUGAUCUUGGAGGCUUUUCAGUAGGUCUCUCUCUCUCUCUCUCUCUCUCUCUGAGCCUCGAAAUGCAUAAAAGUGACAUCCGUCUGCUUGAAGGUAUCGUUCACCCUCCUUGAUUGCAGGUUAAAAU
ensembl:lncRNA